rnacentral:lncRNA from 1 species
CCUCAUACUCCACUUUCAGAAAAUCCUUUCAUAAAUGAUUAACUAAUGACACAAAAUGAAAAUGUUGCCAGUUGGCUGUUGACCACAUGGUGCAAAUUGCCUCUCCAGCUUGCAGGUCACCAGUGUCUCCAUUAACAUUUGGGACAUGGAUAUCCUAAGUUUGACCUUGGAACAUUUGAGGAAAUAGCCUGAUUUUUAAACGAUAUUUUUUAUUGAGGUAUAAUCUAUAUAGAGAGAAAUGCUCAGCUCUAACCUACAGAGUUUGAUGAAUUUUGACAAAUUUACACGAGUGUAACCACCAUCCCAAUCAAGACAAAACAUUUCCAUCACCUAAAAAGUUCCCUUUUGCCCUUUUUCAGUCAAUCCCAACUGUUCUGACUUCGAUCAUCAUAGAUUGUUUUUGACUUUUCUAGAGUGUCUGUUAUGGACUGAAUGUUUGUAUCCCUUCGAAAUUCAUAUAUUGAAACCUUAACCCUCCAGUGUAAUGGUGUUAGGAGGUAGGGCCUUUGGGAGGUGAUUAGGCCAUGAGGGUGGAGCCCUCAUGAAUGGGGUUAGUGUUCUUGUAAGAGGGAUCCCAGAGAGAGCCCUUACCCCUUCUGCCAAGUGAGGCCACAGUGAGAAGAUGGCCAUUUAUGAACCAGGAAGCGGGACCUCAACAGACACUGAAUCUGCUGUCUCCUUGAUCUUGGACUUCCCAGCCUCCAGAAAUAUAAGAACAAAAUUCCUGUUGUUUAUAAAUCCUCCAGUCUAUGGUAUUCUGUUAGAGUAGCCCAAACUAGGACCGUGUCAUAUAAAUGGAGUCAUACAGGAUAUAGCCUUUUGUGUCUGGUUUCCUUCACUGAGCAUAAUAUUUGUGAGAUUCAUCCAUGUUGUUGUGUAUAUGGGUGGUCCCUUCCUUUCUAUUGCUGAAGAGUUUUCCAUUGUAUGUAUAUUCCACAGUUUGUUUAUCCAUUCAUCUGUUGAGGGACAUUUGGGCUUUUCCAGUUUGUAGCAGUUAAGGAUAAAGCUGCUUUGAACGUUUAUGUACCAGUCUUUGUGUGAGGUAGGUAGAAACUACAUAUGUCUAGGGUAAAAACACCUAGGAGUAGAAUUCCUGGGUCGUAAGAUAGGUGUAUGUCUAACUUUAUAAGAAACUUGUGGCUUGUUUUUUGUGUCACCUUCCUGAAAGGAUGUUCAGAAGUCAGCGUGCAAAACCCACACCAAAACAACCUCCACAGGGAGAAGGUGGUAACAGAGGGUUGACAGCUUUUAUUGCAAAAAACUGUUUUAACCAAUUCCUGAAUUAACCAACUCCUGAGUCGUUUUUAUAAUUGGUGCUAACUUUGGUCUGUACCCAAGAAAAUGCUCAUUCACAUUAGUAACGGAAGCAGACUAAGCGGGGCAACAAUACUGAAAAGCGCAGAAGGUUAUUUACGCCAAAAGGUUGACCACACCUUUCGGAAUUUUGCCUUAAGCUCAAGCAAUUACAGUUUAGCAGGGUGUUUAUUGAGAAAGUAAACUGUGGAAAGGUCACCCUUGGAAAAGCUAAUCUGAGUCCCGAAUUUUCACUGCUGUAGACUCUGUGUUAUCUGGGAAAGAUAAACAGGCUAUUCUGUGACUCUAGGGCCUGGCUGUCUGGGCCUUCACCCUCUGUUAGAUGUAUCAUCAAGCCGUAUUGCACAAGAAAGCAGCAUGAGAAAGCUUUUGUGUGUGGCAGACUAAACAGGGGCAAGGGGUCUGACCCUGGCUGGACCUGUGGGGAACUGGAGCAAAGGGGUCUGACCACAGUUAUGUGGAGGACCCCAGAACCCCUUGGAAGUGCUGCUUCCCUUGGCAAGACCUCAGAGGAAACGGCUACCGGGUGGCUGGUGAGGCCAGGAACUAGGAAUUAUGGCCUAGAAAGCUCAUGCGAGAGGCUGGACUGGCACAGCCUCCCCACCUGGAAAGUGGGGCCAUCAGAAGUGGAAGCUAGAGCGGGGGCCUGCCGCCGUGGAACAGGAGCAUCGGCAGGCUGCUGGCACGUCUCGGGGGACCAAAACCACUGACGCUGCAUUUCCUGGCAGUGUUAGUUGUCCUCUCUCGUAGGAUGAAUCGUUGUCACCAUUCCUCAGACUCUUCCUGUCUUAGAAUUUUACACUCACACCCUUUGCCAUGUGACUCUGCAGCCUCCCCAUUAGCGUGAGUGGAGGAGACCUCCUGCCACUGGUGCUGGCAUGGCCAUGUGGCUUGUUUAGUCAGUGGGGUGUGGGCAGGAGUGAAUCAAGAGGCCUCAGGAGGCAUCGUGUGUCUCUGCCUAACUUUCUGUGGUUUGUUAUGCAGGAUUAUCAUAGCAUUUGCUCACUGACAUUUACACUAAUAAUGUUUCCUCCUGUUUCAUAAUAAUUCAAAUAGCAAUUUUUAACUGGCUGUUUUUAAUAAGACUGACUUUCCCAGCCUUCCUUGCAGCUAGGUGUGACCAUGUAACUAUUCUGGUCAAUGAGAGGUUAGUAGAAAUGUUGUGUGGCAGCAUUUCUGAGACCUUUCUUAAAGGCCUGUGGCACACAAUGUUCACCCCUUCCUGCAUCCUGCUAUCUGGAACAAAGAUAUGAUGGCUGGAGCUCUGGCUGACAUUUGGAUCCUGAGAAAGAAGGCCAUGUGCUAGGGAAGAUGGAGCAGUGAGCUGCCGGGGCUCUUCUAUGAGAGACAAAUAAACUGUGUUCUUUAAGCCUCUUGAUCUUUAAAAUUCCCCUGCUGAGCUUACUCCAGACACAGUUCUCAAGCCAAUUUUUAUAAAUCUGAUAAAUAACUGUGAUUUUACUUAGAAGUAGACUAGUGUGCAGCAAUGAUCCACUGUUACUACUAAUCGACUGUUUGGUACUAAUCCAAAUGGGAACAGCGCUUAACAGUUUAAAAAUAAAUCUCUCAGGAGGGAGAAUGGGGAGCGACUGGUAACAGGUACGGGUUCUGUUGGGGGCAAUAAAAAUGUCCUAAUAUGAGAUAGUGGUGGAGGUCGGACAACUCUGUGAGUAUAUGGAAAACAAUAGCAGGGUGUACUUUUAGAGGGUGAAUUUUACGGUAUGUGAAUUGUAUCUCGAUGAACUGUUAAAAAACUGAUCACCUGUUCAUUGUUUACACCGUUGUGAGGCGGGUGCAGUGUUUUCCCCUGCACCACAGCACAGGAAACUGAGGCUCAGGGAGCUUACGCGGCCCUCCCAGUUCACUCACCUUGUGAGUGUCAGAGACGAGAGGGGAACUCGGGUCUCCUGACACCAGUGCCUGUGCUUCCUCCACUCUCUCCAGCGUGUUUGCACCUCCGCCUCGGGGCCGCAGGAACCUGGACUCAGGGACUAUUUAGACAACACUGAGUUGGAGGUAAAGCUUGUUUUCAGCUCUCCAUUUUAGCACCUUCUCCUCUGGCACCCUCUUCCUUCUAGUCACCCUCUCUUAUAUGCCGAGUACCCUGGUUGUUCAGGGUCCCCGCCCACUCUGGUUUACAAGUAUUCUUGCCAGGAAAUAUAAAAAGAUAUUUGACUGAUAUAAAUCAACAUAUAACACAAUCGCAAGUAGUUUUGCCCACGUUGCCAGCAACACUAACUCUCACGUGCCCUCCCCGACACUUAGGGUGGCUAGAGGUUUGGGACAUCUUCCUUUUGGCCUCCAUGAUCUGGAGGACUUCCAGUUGACAGCAACACACAUUUAUGGGAGGUCUGCUAUGAACCAGUGAUUUUGAUGGAUGCUUAGAUGCAUUCUUCCUUCAGCUUCCCAACGAUCCAGAGAAUCUGUGCUUUGAUGAGCCCAUGUUACAGAUAAGGAAACCACAGCUCAGAAAGCUUAGGUGACCUACCCAAGGUCCUGCAGAUGGUGAGUGACCAAGUCAGACUUCGCACCCGGGUCUCCUAGUUCUGAGCCCCGCAUUCUUUUCCUUAUUUUGUACACGCGUUUGUUCCUUAGUAUCCCCCAUGGGGUCCACCACAGGUCUGGAGCAGAGGAGGAGUUCCAGAGGGGAAUGAAAAAGAAAUAAAUGAAAGCCAACCUUUGCCAGCUUGCUCAAAGGCUUUUUUCCCUUAAGCAUGAUUUAUAAAUCAGCCCUCAACCCCAGCACAUGCAUGCACGAGAGCGAGACUCACUCUGGGGUUUUCAUUUCCGAAAGGAGAAGACUACCAACUGCUCUGGAUUGAUGACACCGUUUGGGCGUAAAAUGGGCAGAAGGAGGAUGGUAGGAAGAAAAGCAGGAGAGAUGUUGCUGCCUCUUCUCAGAGGUAACACGAGCUGCCUAAACCUCUGCUGAGGAGAUAGAAGGCAAGCAUCCUGGGAGAGGAACCCCUUGGGAGAGUUUGAAGGAGACUGAGUGUCAAGGAAACCCGCAAACUACAGCAGAAAGGCAAGAAUGGAUUGUGGCUAGCUGGACACUGGGCCCUCCGCUGGCACUGUGGUCACUGCUGGCCCCAGUGCCACCAAUGCCACAGGACACUGGAUGCCAUAGCCACCAACUCCACCAGAAGGAGUUCCGAUUAUGUUGUUCAGUCUGGAUUUAGAAGUCUCAGCUAGGAAUAGUGGCAGAAGUAAUUGAGAAGCAAGAAGUAUGAGGAUGGACGGGGAGGGAGCAAACCACUUACCCGGUCAUGGACGAUUUGCCAGGAGCUGGGCCUUUAAUCAUCAGUUUUCUAUUAAUUCCUGGAACCAGACCCUCCCUGGCACAAUGGUGAGGGAGACAAGGUUGAUUUUAUGCUCAAAAAUAUUGGGACUGGAAGGGACCUUAGAAUCAUCUAGUCCAAUUGUUUUCAAGUGUUUUGAAAGCAGUGAAAUCCAUGCUUUAAAGGAAAUCUUCGCAAAAGCCCAAAUUCUAAAAGGAAAUCAAACAGGAGGCGCUCUGGUUAAAGUGAGGUUGGGGGCCCAGAGUAGUUUGAGAAUCACUGAGUCCAAACCCUGUGACACAGGUGAGGGAACUGAGGUGUAAACAUGACGCUGACUUGUCCAAGGUCACAUAGCUGUUUAGUGGCAGAGCCAGCUCCCCAGUCCAACCCAGCCCCAGUGCAGCAGCCUCUCUGGGAGAGCAGGCUCCUUGGUUCCUUCCAGCUCAGCACCCCCUGCUCUUGGGACUCCUCCUCCAGCCUCACGCAGGUAAAACAGAGUGAGGUGUUUCCCUCAAAAUCCUAGAAGACGUUGGAACACAAGCAGUACAUCUCUGAGAUGGCCCGCCCUCCCGCCCUCCCCAGAGUGAAACAGGGCAGGGAGAAAUAUCCCCUCCCACUGCAGGCAGCUAAGCCUCAUUGGCACCCUGUCAGCUCCGCUUCAGCAGGACGUGGUGGAAUUAGUAUAGGUGGGGUGGCCUGAGGAGGCAUAUCCAGUGGAAACAGCAGUGGUGUCUGUGUGGUCAGGGUCUCAACAGGAUGCAAAUGGCAUCUCAAACUGGGUAUCUGAGGAGAGUCUGAAGAAGGACCAUUUACAAAGGUGUGGGCAGUGUUAAGGGAAACCUACAAGGGGCGAUAAAGCAUCACAGGGCUAGCAACAGCCCUUACCUCUCCCAGAUCUGAGGGGACAAGAGAGGGAGUGGUUAGAAUAUGGGUCUCCUGGGAGGAGCUGCAGCCUUUCGUGGCAGAAUUGGCCAACUCACUGGAGGGAGGGAGGAGGGAAUAAAUACUCUGACCUCGCACUCCUCCAGCCUCUGCCUCCAGUUCCUUCCACCGGCUGGACCUGACCAGAAGCCAGGGCAAAGUAGCCUGGAUGAUGUAAUUCAUAAAGGUCAGCAUUGCAGGACACGGAGCGUGGCUAAGGAGGACAUCUGGAGGGGCAAGGAGAAUAUAUCCAAUUCAGUGUGAUCCAGUAGGAGAAGCAGUGUCCAGCAGACCUGGGCAAGAGCUGACUAUGCUUGUUUAUAAGCACACAUGAGCUACCCUGGGCACUCUCAGAAAUUCUAAUGGGGGCACAGGCACUUUGCAGGGGCAGAUGUAGGGAAGAACUUGAGAAAUAAGGUCAUGAAUGUGACCUCAUUUGUCCCUGGGAGGCCUGGGGAAACUCACAGACUCCAUUACUGAAGCCCAGCUGCUCUGAGGUUGGCGGUGGAGGGAGAAUGCCCUGGUUGCAAGGACAGGCGAGGUCCGGGAAGAUUCACGUUGCCCUUAGAGACCUCCUUACCUCCAGCACUCUUGCUACCAUGGCAACCUCAGGAGAGUGUGGUUUCCUCCUUGCCUUUCAUAUUUGCAACAGUGCAAUGCAAUUCUGAUACUAACUACCCAGAGUUAGCACAGACUCCACAGGUAAGGGCACAGUCUCCAACAAGACUGCCCUUGCUUCACACGCCCGGCACAAGUUCAGAGGUCUCCAGGCUACCCACACUUCUGACCAACUGGCUACAAACUCGGGUGUUCCCACAACCCCUCCCCACCAGGUUGAUAAUUCACUAGAAUGAUUCACAGAACUCUGGAAAGUGCUAUACUUACAAUUUCAGUUUUAUUAUAAAGGAUACAAACCAGGACCAAUCAGGACCAAUCAGGAAAAGUCUGGAAGGGUCCCAAACUUGGAACUUCUGUGUCCUCUCCACAUGGAACCCAGGGCGCACUCGACCCUCUCAGCGCAUCAAUGUGUUCACCUGCCAGGAAGUUCACCCAAGCCUCAGUGUCCAGAGUUUUUCUUGGGGUUUCAUUACAUAAGCAUGGUUAACUGAAUCCCUGGCCAUGUGAUUGAACUCAGUCUUUCUCAGUUGAACCCACCCCUCUGGACUGAUAUCACAUGGCUCAAAGCCCCAACUCUCUAAGCACAUGGUUGAUCUUUCUGACAUUGCCAGCCCCCAUCCUGAAUCUAUCUAGGACCCACCAGGAGUCACCUCAGUAGCAUAAACUCAAGUGUGUUCCUGGGGGCCCACUGUGAAUAACAAAUCCCAAGAGUUUAGAAGCUUCAUCCCAGGAAUCCAGGACAAAGACCAGAUAAAUUAUUAUACAACAAUAUCCCAUAGCAUGGCUGUCACAAGGCUGAAACAUUUAAGCUGGAUCUGACUAAAGGCUAACACUGUGAUGGCUAGAGUUUCCCUUGGAUCCCAACCUGCUGUGAUCUUAGUGACAGCCUAGUGUGCUGUGUGGAGGAUUCUGAAGCCACUUCCAGGAUUAAUUGGAAGGAGGGACAUGAUCAACUAGUCAUGACAGCCCUGGAAUAGAAGGGCAUUGGAAGGGGAGAGUGAGAGUGUGCAUGUGGGGUACUUGCUAACGCUGGGCUAAGGGAUUAAAAAAAAAAAAAGGAAAAAUCAUUUGCUGUUUGCUAACGAAGACUUGCUCAUUAGAACAUGUAAGACCCAUCCCACUUCAGCUCCUGUCCUAAUGCCAUGUAGUGGGUGCCAUGUUUAACCCUUACCACACAAGAGGUCAUGUCUUUUUAUUUCUUCUCAAAAUCUAGACUCAUGAAAGGGAGACUCAGAGAGAGAUGAGCGUGCCUUGGCUGCCCCCUGAAUUCUGGUUUUGAAACUAAGGAACCAUGUCUACCCCAUGACUGUCCUAGUGAAUACAGGCAUUUUUAGGGGAUAUCAUGUCAACUCACAUGUUGGGUUGAUAGUCAACUGAUAUGAACCAUUGGCUAUACCAAUUCUUAAAACAUGGAAACACUUCAUGCUGGUUGGUAAGUGAUGGCUGCUCCCCACUCCUGGAGAGGCCUUCUGCUAUUCUGGCUUUCCUGCCCCUCUCCUGGGACCAGGAGGGCUACAGACAGUGAUUUUCAGAGCUCAGUGCAAAACGAAAAUGCAGGACCGUUUGUUCAAAGUUUAUUAAGAAUUUCAAGAUGGCCACAGCAGAGCAUUCAGCCAAGCACAUCCCUUGACCCCACCAAUGCAGGAGGAGCACAGAGGGUGACCAAGAAAUAAAGCUAUUUUAAGACACUAACGUUGGAGGGUUGACUGUCACUGCAUCAUAACUUGGUGCAUUCUGACUAAUACGCACCAAUGCCCUACAAGUUCUUACGUAUUUUGACUGUCACCCUGCCCACGUGAUGGUCUCCUUGACACCCAAACAAGACAACCAGAGUUGUUUUCUUGGAGCCUGGCUUGACUAUUAUCAGAAACUCUCAGAAUUACACAAGGCACAACCAUAUUCCCAAACCCUAUUUUUAACAUACGAACUUUGCCAGUAUAAUGAAACCAACAUUCAGAUAAAAUAGUAAAAGUGUGUUUUUAUAAACUUGUUUUAAUACGUUACCACAAAAUAGAAGGACUUAUGUUUUCAUUGGAUACUUUUCUUAAGGGAGUGCCAAUUUCCUCUCACUGCUCCUGGAUCUGACUGAGGCAGCUCAAGAAGGAGGAAGUCGGGGAGAUCUGAUCGGUGGUUACCAGG